AUCACCGUUUGGAAGAUUUAUCUACGAUGUAUUUGUUAAUUUAUAUAAAUUAUUUGAAAAAAAAAAAUACGUUUCAACUACCACUCGAAGAUCUACUAGCAGUUCUAUUAUUCAAUGAAGAUAUAAGAUAUAGGUGAAGAUUCGUCACUGAAGAUUCGUUGUUUCAAAAAAUUUAAUGACGUUUCUUCAAAAUGUAUAUAUAUAUAUAUAUAUAUAUAUACACACGCAUAUGUUCUAAUAUGUUUAACGGUCACAUAGUAUGUGUGUGUGUGUGGUUGUGGGCGUCCUGUGUGUAUUUACGAAAUUUUUUUGCUUUUAUCGUGCCCGAUCGAUUUCUCUUUAUGCAUAUUUGAUAUAUAUGCAAUACAAAGGACACACGCGCCAUUUUUGAAUUUUGUUUUAAUCGAAUAUCAUACAAAACGAUUAUUCGAUCGAUAAUAGGAUAAUUGCCUGUAUAUAAGUUUAAAUUUUCGUACGGUCUCAAUGAUAGUCUUGUAGCAAGUUUCUUUUUUACACGGUCACAAUUAAGUAUUUGUAUUUAUCGGAUAACCGUCAUUAAUCAAUUGCGAAGAUCAAUGUGAAACAGCGACGUCGGUCCCGAGGUACAGCUCUUAAGCAUCGUUGUGAUAUUGCGAUAAAGCGCAACAAGCUUUGAUGGUACUGAGAAUCAUGGACGUUCGUUAGUACAAGAAGAAUCGUCCCGAUACCCGGAUAAUCAAAGCGUACGAGGACGUAAAUAAAAUGUUGACAUUUUAUACACAGAGUGUCUUGUGUAACGUUCCAAGACGGAGAACAAAGUGGAGUCUGCUGUCAUUUUUAUCAAAUCAACUGUCCUCGUAUUUAGAUCAAGUAUCAGCGUAGAUUCGAGAAAAGCAGCUCUAAUGGCUCUCGUAGCAUCGAUAGUUUUGCCAAAUGGAAAUAGAACAGUUGAUAGUCAUUCUGGUGAGCCACUGAUCAGAAGAAUCGUGUAAGGGUGAAAGGAGAUAAAAGACAUAGAGAGUAAGAGAGGUAGAAAAUCUGCGUUAACCGAUAUAAUAAUUUUUCUCAUAAACAGAUUAUACUGGAUCCUAUAGAUUAAAACAGUUAUACCCACUCGUUAAUCGUGACACUGUGUUCCUGCACGGUUCACACUCGGAUACAUUAAUCGUUAAUUAAUAUAAAACUGAUCAGCAGUUUAAUACGACUAGUCAACAGUAAUAAUGGUCACGAAAAAUUACAAUAGAAUAUAUUUCACCAACGGGUACCGAUUUACCUGGUGUUACCGUAAUUUCAAUGUCGAAUGUAUCAUUCGAAAAUUCUACGUUUGAAUACAAUAUAACGCCUGAUCAAUCUAUGGUUAAAUAUUCGAUAUAGACAAGAUUCUGCUCGUUGAUUUUAGCAUUACCGUCCUGUAUGAGUUUUACACAUGACUGCCGAUCAAUUAGACAAUUCAACGAGCUUGCAUAAAUUCUGUUUUCCCAAACAAAUAUACCAGCCGGUAAUUUUACUCGCCGAUCGCUAAUCAAAAUAUGCACAACGCGUGCCCAGCAUAUGAAAGAAUAAUUGCUAGAAAGGAAAAAAAAGUCUGCAUACAGAAAUAAAAAAAAAAAUAAAAAAUCAUAAUAAAUCGUGUAUUCGUAAAAUCUCUGAGAGAUUCGUACGAAAAAUCAAGUGAAAUAGAAAAACCGUUACGCCAAUAAUGAUCAAUAUACAGCUGACUGUUUUUAUCUUGUAAUCGUUAUAUUUAUACAUUACUUAUACAGUUAAUGUAAUCAAGUCACACGUAUAUUUACUUCGGACUACACUGGGAAUAGAUGACUGUUCUUUUAAUGUCAGCUUUAGCAUAACGUAACAAUAAUUUAUAACCGAUAUACGUACCGAUAAUACUUCAGUUUUAUGCCAUGUCCUAUACCUGAUCUCAAGUCUGUGAUGAUGAGAAAUGAUUUUUCCGCGAUUUAAAUUGCGUUCUAGAAAAAAAAAAAAAAAAAAGAAAACGAUAGAAAUAACCAAGAUAUGCCGUACCUUGCAAAAUACUCUGCCAACUUAGCUCAAUGUUCGCCAUUGCCAAAUAACGUCUGUUCGAAUAUUUCAAUGAAUAUACAAGAGAACAAAAGCGAGACAUUGUUAAAUUCACAAUAAUAGUUUCCUCGCAGUAAUUACUGUAUCUUCCAUCAAUUGUACUUGUUAAGCAGUGAUCCCCUACUUGCCCCUUCUGCCUCACCCCACUAAGACUCCCGUAUUACAUGAUUGACUUGCGUAACAUUAAAAAUCAAUCGCAUCACUUUUUAGGUAGAAAAGAAAAAGUGGAGACGCCCUGUAUAUAUAUAUAUGUAUAUGUAAUCUUGGACAAAAUUUUGCUCCAGAUCUCCUCACCUGUGUGUAAAUGCGAUAAUUUAUUUAUUUCUCAACGAAAAGUCUGAUAUAUUUACAUUGCCUGAAGAUUUCGCAGGAUUUAUGUAGUAAGCGUUAUUAUUAUUACUAUUAUUGUCAUCGUCAUCCUUAUCGUAAUCGUCAUUCACGCUAGUUUAUAUUUUAUAUCGUCAAUUACGUUGUUCUGCAUGUUUGUAUCGUGUACACGUUUAUUUAAUUACAAAAGUCUGACGCUUUGUAGCGAACAAGUUUUAAGUUUAA